UGUUCUUGAUUUUGUUUUGUUGUCCUUCUUACAAUUUAUGUUGGGGGAGGCUGGUGAGAUGGCUCAGCAGUUAACAUUGCCUGCUCUUGCAGAGGGCCCAGAAUUGGUUCCCAGCAUGCCAGCCUGGCUUUGAAACCAUACUGAUAGGGACAGUGGGAAGUUAGCUACUUAGAAGGUUAUACUGACAGGUUCCUGACUAUAUGCAUCUCUGCCAUAUAAUAUCUGCACACAUAGACUGGUCCACAUAUGAGUAGCCCUGGAGGGUUUGAUGCAACUUAAAAAUCUCAAUAUGAAUUUUAAUCAAAUGCCCAGAUGACAGGCCUUGGAGAGUAUGGUUACACACUUACUGGUGCUCAGUAACUACCCACCAGUAAAUCUCUUGAUGGGAGCUGACUUGAAAACAGAGGCUCAGAUUUUUAUGGAAUAAAUGCUUAACAUAGUGUUUUUCAAGUGAGUCUCUGAGGGAUUUGUUUUAGGAUUGAAUGUCUAAAAUAAGAUUCCAAUGCUCAGCAAACUGCAUGGCCCUGCAUUUUAAUACUGUGUUAAGUACUGAGCCCCCUUGCUCGAAAGGCUAGAGGAUUUUAAAAGAUAGUGCUAUCCAGGUGAGGAUAUUUUCUCUUAAAUUUGAAUACAUAUUAAGCUGACCUUGAAGGAUGCAAACUUUAAUCCCAAAUUUAACUUGGUGAUAGAAAAACUUGUAGAAGGCCUGCCACCAGAGGCAACUCAGAUGGGAUUGCUCCCAAGUGAAGAGCUGCUGAGUCACAGGAUUGUAAAAUGUAAGAAUAGAAAAGACCUUGGGUGCUAUUCUCUCAGUUCUGAUCCAUCCACAGUUAAAGGCACGUUGCAGUAUUUUUGAAGCAUCUUUGUCCAAGGAACCUCAAUUGAUUUGCAUUUAUUAACCAAUCAGCCUGCCAAUCCCUAAAUGCCUUUGGCCUUUGGAUACCUGCAGGCUGUUAUAACAGGCUUGUCUCUUCAGUAGGCUCAUUGUUUGAAGAAGUGAAGGAAUAGCUCACAGCAAAUAAAACCCCUGCAUCUAUGUCCCAUGAGAAGUAUCAUGAAGAAGUACUGAGACAGAGAACCUGAGAUGAUUGGUCAGGGUGCACUUGCAGUUUGCUAGGAAGAGACAGAGACCAACCAUCAUCCCAUAGCUUCUUCCACAUGAACAAAGCUGAGAUGGGCUGUUUUACUUUGGACAAUAUCAUAAUGUAAAUCUCUGGUUGAACUAGAGUCAGAACCCACACUCCUAAGUCACUCCUAGAGUGUCAUAAACCCCCCUCAUCCAUGUGGGGUUCUCUAGUCUGGAUUCCAAGGAAAGGGUGAUCUUUCACUCAUUCUCACCUAUCCUCCCCUUGCCCUGUAGCAACAGACCAUAUGUCUUGUCACACAAGGCCCAGUUGUGCAAGUGUCCUUGUCAUUUGCUCUUAGAUGUGGUCCUGACUCAAACUUAUUGCCAGUGACCUGUAAUUGCAGGGCCCAGUCAUUGUGGAAGUGGUCAUGCUUUCAUCACACUCUCCCUUUCUCAUGGAUGACAGCUCAGAUGCCAAGGCACCCUAAUAAAUAGCCAAACAAAACAUAAGAAGGAACCUGAAUCCUGAAUGACCAGUGAAUCAAAACCCUCUACUUCUCUGGGCCCUACCUUGGGCCUUUAUACUAUAAGGAUCCCAAAUCAAUAUAGUAUGCAUUCAAUACAGUACAAGCUAAGAGAGGCUAAGUAUUAUUUGAGAGUUAGGGCAAGAGGCAGAUGCUGCUCAGUGUUGGAAGGAUCACUCUCCAUUAAAUCUUUGAGCAAACUCGGUGUUUCCUACAUGAGAGGAAAUAGAAGCAAAUAUUUCACUGGGCACAUCAGGUGCAGACAAUUUAUUAAGCAAUUUACAUUCACAUUAUAUUACAUAAUCCUCACAACUCUAGAUUGCUGCCUUUCAUUUACCUACAAGAAACUCAAGGCUUAGAGGGAUGAAUUAAUCAAGUCAUAUAAUCAAUUAAUUUUGAGUGGAAUUAUCUGCAUUUAUCUGCUUAUAGGCACACUUUCCUAGAGAAGGAGAAACAGGGAGAGGGAGAGACAAGAGACGAGAGACAGAGAAAAGAGACAAGAGACAGUGUGUGUGUGUGUGUGUGUGUGUGUGUUGAGGGAUCAAAUUAACGAAGGAAAUGUGAUAGCCUAGGUGUUGUGACUAGAACACUGGCCCAUGAGACAAAAGACCUGGAAGUUUCACAGGUAAUAACACUUGCAUGGUACUAGGCUUCUCAAAGCAUAUAUGGCCUCUGGAGUCAACAACAAUCAUGGGCAGGAGAGAUGGCUCAGUGGGUAAUGACAAUUGCUUUGCAACCAUGAGGACUAGAGGCAAUGUACUCCUAUCAUUCCAGUCUGGGUAGAGGGGCAGAAAAAGAAGAAUCACUAGGGUUUGCUGGCCACCAAGCUUGGUCCAGACACAGUGAAAGAUUCUGUCUCAAAGACCUAAGGCAAAAUGUAAUAGAAUAGUCACAUGCAUAUACCACACAUAUAUACACAAACAUAUACAAGACACAGUUCUAAUAGCUUAUAGCAUGCAUACAAAGAGACAGCUGACAUUUACUCACUGCACCUAACCAGCCACUUUUACUCUCAAAACAACCAUAAGGGAGACAGUAUUAAGGAAUUAAGGAUUAAUCUGGCAAAGGACAAUUUAGCACAAUGGUCAAAGAUAUCAGCUAAAAUAAUGUCAGUGCACCCCAAACUCAAAGGCAUGAAGCCCCAGUAUGUCAUAGGCUAAUUACCCUUAAUUCUGCAUAGAUAUAGUUCUUCAUUUUCCUCCAGCAAAGGACGACAGGAUGAAAAGGUAGGAAAAUCCAUUCCUUUUUACCACUGUAUUUCAUGACUUACUAUUAAAACAGUAGGGAAACAAGGGUUUCACCCAUAGACUACUGGAAGAAAAAAGGAAGCCUUGCCUUAGGACAGCACCUAAGAACACAUGAAAGGCAUUCAGAGAAGCAGAGGACCUCUUUAAACACUGAGCAAUGUUCCAAACAAAAGGCAGGAAGUGUACAGUUUAAAGUCAAACAGAGUCAAUUUUAUAGACAUGGAAAAAGGGGCGAUUGAUGUAAGAGAUAAUCAGAGGAGAAGCAUGCUAGCAUAAGUCAAGGCUGAGCAGCUCAGGGACAGAAGAGGGCUGCAUAAAAUAUUUAAAGGGCCUUUCUGAUGUUCUGUUUAUCCCAGGGCACUUAUAAAUCCAGGAGGUCAUACUCUCAAUGGACCUGCUGUGGACUGGGUGCUGACCCACUUUGACAAAUAUGUUGUCCAACCCAAGGCAGAAAUAUGGCCUGUGCAAAGGACCCCUGGUGAGGAUGCUAAAUCUCUGAUUUUGAAGUCACCAUGUAUGACCAGCCAUUUACAUUAAGCAAGCAGUCCUGUGGUUUAGGGAAUAGAGAGUCAAAAUGUAUUCUCUGUAGCAGCCUACGUAUACUAUUGGAAAUAGCUCAACCAAAGCUUAACAUCAAUCAUCUCAAAAGUACCCUAAAACACCAAUUCUCACUGCAUCACUCAGCAAAAGUAUGCCACUGAAAACUCUCUGAAGCAGUAACUCUCUCUGCACAAGGCAUUUAUGGAGAAUUAAUGAACAGCUGUAGUCUAUGGACUGUGAGCAGAACAAGAAAUAUUAAUGCAUGGCAAAGUUUUAUACUCUGGCUUUUUUUCCCCCAAAGAUAGUGAUCAUUUGAUGUGCAUAGAACACAAAGCCCUUUGCUCCCUGGUUUGUCUAGCCGACUCUCCAAUGACUGCACCUCCAGCUUUAAAGCUAUUGGAAAGUACAUAACAGGAUCUGUCAGAAAGGGUGUUUAAGUUUUAGGUCAUGCUGUGAGCCUACGGAACACGAAGUGAGAUUGAGAGACUAAAACAUAAAGCCACCUACACCCUAGGAAAGGGUGAACUAUCCUCACUAUCUUCACAUGGAGUGGACUGGAGCAUAGUCUAUUUUAAUCAGUAUUGGAUGUAUUUUUGAAUCUUACUAGCAGGCUCAUGAUUUAAUCCUUCUAACCACUUUAGUUGAGCUGUAGUGUACUCAGUUUUUCAUUUGUCUGCCUACAUGAAAAAGGCACUAACUCAUCUCUGUAGAAUAAAGAAGGCAGUACAGUCUACAGCAGUGACUCAGCUUUGCUGCUGUUGCCUCAUGACCCUGUCAUAAUGGAAAAUACCUUAGAUCCUUAAAUGCAACAGCCCUAGCCCACCUCCUUCUUGGGACAAUUGUCACUAAAUGAAGCCAAGGAUGAACCUUUGAUGUUUCCCAUUGCUCGGUUUAUUGUAACAUUAGAACCAGUCAAUUAGGGUUUUAUUGCUUUUUGUUUAUGUGUGAGAAUCAAAGUGAUGGCCUAGAACAUACGAGGUAAACACUCUUCUACUAAAUUAAACCCUCAUCCUGGAGCCAACCACUUCUGAAACUGAGUGGUUGCCUGGUAUCAUUCCUAUGUCUAGUUACCUUGCCCUCCCUUCCAAUGGCAGAACCUACUCAGCUGCUGUCCUCUGUGGAGGAUGUAUCUGAGAGCUGUGACAGAAGGCAAAACGAUGGAGAGCUGUGAGCAGAGAUUGGAGAGCAUCAGUCAUGACUAAAGCUCGAUCUGACACCUUCACAUACCCUAGGUGAGAAGAGAAGAGUAACUUAUAAAACACAGCAUCCAGAGCUGCUCUUCGGAGUCUCAUGAAGCAUAAAGUGAAAGGAGAUCCGGUGUCUGUCCAUUGCCAUCCGUUGUUUUCUUCAGGCUCCUCAGGACUGCUGACUGCUGCAGCUAGUGACUUUCUGGGUUUCAGCCUUCUGGACAUCUGGGAGCACAGUGGGGAUGAGCCACAGGAGUCCAUCAUGUUGGUGUGUUUGCCCUAUUUAUAGCCUACCUCCUGCUAAAGAGAGGACUGAAAGCACCUCACAAAACAGUAACAAGAAGAGAUAAAAAUAAACAAGUGGAAAAUU